GUGGGAGUCGCCUAGUGGCCAUGGCGGCAGCCUGCUAAGCUGUUCGCGCGCAAGCGCUUCGCGGGUUCGAAUCCCGCCUCCCACG
rnacentral:tRNA from 1 species